rnacentral:lncRNA from 1 species
ACAGAUGCUGGGCUCUGUAAUGCACUUUUCCCCCCCUCUGCCACUGCUUCUGAGUGUUUCUCUGGCUGCCUGGAUGUCUUCGUUACUGCCUGUUGGGGGAGUGUGCUCCGAGGUGCUAGUGGGGUGUGAAACCUCGGGGGAUUGACUGGUGCUGCUGAGCAGGCAGGAUGGCUAGGUACUUAAGAUCAACUUUGCCUUUUCCACACUCGACACCAGGUUUUAACUGUUCUGCCUGCCUGAGAAUCAUUUCAAGCUGUCUAGGAGGAAAAUAAUGUUGGGGUGUCUUUUCAUUCAGCCACAUCUGUUUUGACUGGAAUAUAACCGUUUCUUAACUGGGUCUUGCCUUUGUGUUCAUUUGGUCAGUCCAAGAAUUCUUUUCUUCCUCUUCUUGUCUAUUCACCUGGUUCGCUCUGUCUGAGCUACAGCGGUUUCUAGGUAUUAUCUUCUACCUUGACCUUAUCCUCAAUGGGCCAAACUGUAGAAGUUGCCUACAAAGCCAUCUC